rnacentral:lncRNA from 1 species
CUCCCACCACAGCCCUCAGCGCCCCACACCCACUGCCGGAUUUGCCCAGGCCCUGCUCACUGUGCCUUGGGCCUCCUGGUGCGGGGAGCAGGUCCUCUGCCAGCGGCUCCCACUCCCUAACCCAGUUUCUUCCUGCAGGGAGCACCUCCGGGAGCUGCCUGCCCGUCCACCCGCCCGGAAAGGUCAGUGUGGGGCUGUCCUGGCUAACUGCUGUCCCGCCCUCCAUAAGCGCCGGCCGCCUCCCUGCGAGGCAUCUGCUCUUCUCUGCGGCGGGAAGCCAUCCAGCUCGAGCUGCGCAGCUUUGCCCCGCACCUGCGUCCUCGGCUCCUGCUGCCUCGGCUGAAGUCCGGCUCCUCCCGUGCUUGAGCAGCAGUCGGGGUGGGCAGCUCCAGCUGCUUCCAGAAGUGCCAGGCUCUCAGUGACACGCAGGCGGCUGACGGCCGUGCCCGCACCUUGGGGUGCGGAGCUGCUCCCUGGCGACCCUUUAAAUGCUUUCCUGAAGUUUCUUUUCUGGGACCCAGAGACGCAAGUCCGUUUGAGGCGCCGAUGACCCCCGGCAGCUCCUGCGGCACCAGGCCGGCCAGCUCCUGGGCCUCUCAUCGUGCCCGGCUCUGCCCCAAGCCUCCAGGCGCCCAGCAGACCCCAGGUGCCACAGAGCAGGAUGACUCAGAGCACCCCUGGAGUAGCCGGCCCUGCAGCAAGCUGCCCCAGCGCAGGGGUCGGUGGAUGCAUGUGCCGCACCCCAGGAACGCCUGUGCGCGGGAGUGUGCGGCCACAGGCCACACAGGCUGGCUGCAGGGCAGCCCGGGAGUCUGCUGGGUGGGGGUAGCCACAGCCUACCGGCUCUGGCUCUGCCGACCUCUCUGAGGGCCCAGGCCCGGCCCUGGGGGCGACCCCUGCCCCCGCGAAGCUUCCAGCUCCCCAUGCACAGCCCCUGGCCCGCCUGCUGUCCCCGUGGCCACAGGGAGCCGGGCCGCCGCGCCCCAGCCCUGCCCACUGCGGGGGGCCCAUGACUGGGCGCCCCGGCUUCCUGUGGGUCCUGUCUCCUGGCCCCCAGCCAGCGACGUGGGGCAGGCCUCGGACACCAGGAGGGCUGCCGAGCGGGCUGGCCGUCCGCACCAGGCAUCUGCGGGGUCUGCUCGGCCGGAGCAGCUGCCCGACGGGGCCCCUCGGAGCCCGCACAGGAGGCUGCGGAGGCCGUGGGUG